rnacentral:lncRNA from 1 species
GGAAUAUUAUCUAGGAACUUAGGAUCACAUUGUCUUGUCACUUAUAGUAUGUCCUAAUUUUGUCACAAUCUCUCGUGUUUAAGUGGAUCACAAUACCAGCGAUUAACCAGAUCUAUUCAUGAAGGAGAGGUAUUGAUAAACGGAUAAAGGCUGUCUAAAAACUUUGAUCCCAAAUCACUCUUACAGUUAGCUAUUAUUUUUGUUUUUGUUAAGUUUGUUCAUAGUGUUCUUCUAAUUUAAAUAAAAGGGGGAGAAUUAAAAAAAACAAACAAACAAAAAUCAAAAAAUAGUUUUAUUUCUAUUUUACAUUUUGUUCUAACUUUUCUUUUAGUUUUGUUUUGUCUUGAAAAGUGAUUUCAGGUGAAGACGAAACCAUGGAGUUUGUGUUGAAGAUUUCUAAGCCAAAGCCUCGUCUGUGAGCAUCGAAGAAUUCUCAUUCGAAGGAGAAAGAAAUGAAGAUUAUUCUUCCAACAUUCAAUCCUUCAACCCCAGAAUCAAGGUGAAGCAGAAAAUGAAGAUUAUGUGACGGAUUGCAUUGAAGCCUCCUCAAUCAGUCUGUGGCUAUCGUUGUACCUACUGAAGUGAUCCAGAAGAUUUGUUCUCUCUGAUGUUCUCUCUGAAUAUUUUCAAGCUGAAAGCACCAUCUUUCAAGAAUCAGUACAAGAAGCCUCCUCACCCAAUGUGCGUUCAGAGUCAAAUCUUGAAGAAAAGCUCAACUACUUAAGAUGAAGUCAUUCAUUGAAGAUUCAUCAAGUUGAUCUUGAAGCUAUGAAGUCAUCGAAGAUUAAAGUUGAAGCCAAAGCUCCCAUUGAAGAUUAACAAGAAAAGUCAGCUACUUUUUUGGGGGAGCUUGUUGGGUCAUUUAGAAAAGAAACUUAUAAACCAAGGGGCGGAUUGUUGGGUCAAAAAUAUGGUUUGUAUUUUACUUUUCUAAGAAAAUGUAUUUUUGUGUCUUGGGCCGUAAACAACUUGGUGUUUACGGCCGUAAACCCAUUUACGGCCCAUGUUUCCCUUGUAUAUAUAUAGGUGUUAGGGUGAGNUAUAUAUAUAUAUGUAAACAUGUUUACGGCCGUAUACAUGUUUACAGCCGUAAACCCAUUUACGGCCCAUGUUUCCCUUGUAUAUAUAUAGGUGUUAGGGUGAGGAGUAUAUUUUGAUGAAACACAAGAAGGAGUGUACGGCCUAGAGAGAGAGAAGAACAAGUGUGUGUUAGUUAGUGUGUGAAUCUCUUCUAUCCGGAUCAUCAUUCUAUUUAUCAAUACAUUGAGAUUCAUAUUAUUCUUCUUCUCCUUCUCUUCUAUUUGAUCUGACAUCAUCCGUUGGAUUGGGAUUCCGCACCAUCAAAUGGAUCUGAUUGAUACACAGGCAUUUUGGGGACUUACAAAGACAAUCCUAGAUCCAAAGUUAUUUUUGCUCACAAAGGCACAAUACACGAAUUGGCCUUGGAAAUGGCCUAAAAAUGACAAAAUCUAACUAGGAAAGGGGAUCUAAAUGAAUAACAGUCAAGGUACGAGCUUCAUACCUUCCAAUGAUCUGAAAUAGCACACCAACAUAGAGUUCACUGCCACUUCUUGAAUCACCCAAGGUUCCUUUCUUCCUUUUAGCUUCAAAUCACCCAAAAAUGAUAAAGAAAGCUUCAGAGUACUACAAUGGAGGCUUAGGGUUUCGAGAGAAGGUAAAGGGAGUGAUGGAGGCUGGGGUGAAGGCCUGAAAUGAUGCUUAAAUAGGGCACCAAGACCGGAAAUCAGGGUUUCCCAACCCAAACCUGACUCGCCGAGUCAAUCCCUCCAACUCGCCGAGUCGGUCACUUAAAUCCCGACACGGAACUCGCUCCAACUCGUCGAGUUCACCAAUGGACUCGACCAGUUGACCCCUAUGACUUACGGUUUUCCUUUCCUUUCUUGGUCUUUCUGAUUCUGGGUGUUACAACUCUCCCCCACUUAAACUAAUCUUCGUCCUCGAAGUUUCUCUACGGCCAAUCGUUCUGCAAUCUGCUCUCAACACCCUGCCGGAAAAAUCUAACACCCGUUGACUACUUCUGUUGGCCUUUCGCCCGGUCAUGCAUACCAACGCUAAUUCUUGCAAUAACAAUCCUCAACCAUCCAAAUAACACGUCCUGAUCCAUUGGUAAUCCUUCCAGUGUUCCCCGAGCACUCAUACUGAACCCCUUAGGGUUCACUUCCCUUUGACUUGCGCGGUCACUAGCCUUCCCAAGGCAAAUUUCCAAAAAUGACAACCUCCUCUAAAACUGCGGGAACAUACCCUUUUUUGUGUGAAAAUGUGCUAGGUACCAAUCAAAUCCUAGAGAACCUCAUCUUACUGCUGUGAAGAAUAUUUUUCGCUAUCUCAAAGGAGCAGUUUCGUUUGCAUUGUGGUAUCCUUCGAAAACAGGGUUUUUCAUUCAAGCAUUCUCAGAUGCUGAUCUUGGUGGAUGCCAACUUGAUUGAAAAAGCACAAGUGGCAGAUGUCAACUCUUGGAUGGGAAGCUUGUGAGCUGGCAGUCGAAGAAACAAACAUGUGUUUCAAUUUCCACAGUAGAAGCAGAAUAUGUUGUUGCUGCAGCUUGCACUUCUUAAAUCAUAUGGAUUCAAAGUCAACUACGCGAUUAUGCAUCAACAUGAAGAAAAUUCUGUUGUAUUGUGAUUCACAAAGUGCCAUACGUAUUUGUCACAAUCCUAUGCAACAUUUGAAAACAAAGCACAUUGCUCUUCGCUAUCACUUUAUUAAAGAUCAUGUUAAAGAUGGCAACAUUGAAGUUCAUUUUGUAAAGACAACUCAUCAGCUUGCUGAUAUCUUUACAAAACCAUUAGAUGAAAAAUCUUUCGUAAGAAUUAUGAAUGGCUUAGGAAUGAUAGAUGCGAAUUCAGUUCCAGGACUGAUUUCGUUAGAAUGACAAGUCAAAGUAGUGGGAAUUUGUCAUUUCAGCAGUUAAUGUACCUUAUUCAGCGGUUACUAUUCACAGUCAAUGUUUCGACAUGUUUCACUUUCAACAUCAUGCACAAUGGUUUGACAAAAAUCUUCGCUAAUUUUGUCAUUAUCUUAUUUUUGCUAAGUCGGUACAUUUUCUUUUAUUGUUUACUAUUUUUUCUUUAAAAAUCAAAAACAACAAAAAUAUUUUCAUUUUUGUUUUUCAUCUUUAAAAUUCAAAAAUAUCAAAAAGAUUUUCUUAUUUUUGUAAUUUUUUUUCAAAAAACAAAAAUACAAAAAUAUUUUUUUUUCUUUUAAUCUUUCUUGUGUAGCUUUUAGCGAAGAUUUUUGAUGGUUCAUGCUUGCUGGUUGAGGGAAAGGUAUAUUUUCGAAACUAUGGAUUAGUUAAGAUGUCCCUAGAAGCAUGUUGUUGCAUAUCGACCAAAGCCUCCAUAACUCAAUGUGUUUCGAAGCCUUAAUGGAUUUCUCAUCAUGAGGAUUCCUACCCAAUCAGGCUAUAUUCACAUUACUUUCUAAGCUACCUUACUCUUCUCACAUGAGUUAAGAGUUAAUUUCUUGGUCCAAUCAUAGCAGAGGUACUUUCGAUUCUUGAACCACUCUUUUUCAUCCUAAAGUUCUUUCACGAUCACACACAAUGACACAUACCCAAGACAUUUCUGGUCAAAACAAACCAGGUUAUAGGUAUGUCAAUAUUUAGUGUUUAUGAUCUGGAUUCAUGAGACCAUGAUGAAAGUGAAACCCAAAGUUUCAAACUUUUAAAGGAAUUGACGGGGAACCUUAUUUCAGAUUUUAACAGAACUUUUAUUUUAGUACCACUUUUCGAUACUCCAAUUCAUAUUCAUUCUUUUUGCAUGGUCUAGAUAAAAUGUUCGAAACCCACGACAUUUUUACCCAACAAGAUCCUGGUAUAAUUUUGUUUUAUGAAAUAUGAUUUCAGUGUGAGUAUCAAUUUGAUUCUUCGUUACUUAAUAAAUUUUUCCAAAGCAUACUUGUCCCUGACUACACUGGUCAAAUAGGUAAUUUCGCUUACACAUUAUCACUCUUAUGUUUAGAUGUGAUAAGUAACGAAAUUUUUUAGCCACCCAUAACAUCGCAGGGAGGAAUGCCCACCUCUUACCAACCGGUGGUUGUCGGCCCUGGUUUGGUCAUUAAUCAAGAGGGUAAGAUGGUUGUGAACCCUAAUAAGGCUCCCUAUAACCUGAAGUACCUGAUUCCUUCCUUGUUUUUAAUUUACUUGAUCUUAUCAUAUGAUCAUGGAUUCACGGUUAAUAACUAAUAUAUAAUAGGUGUAUGUGCCUGUUGGGUGUGCCUAUAUGUUCUUUGUUUUUCACUUUCUUUGUUGUAUAUACUUUUUUUUAUCUAUUUAACUUUGAGAGUUUACUCUUUGCCCGAUGAAUUAAUUGCAUGCAUCUUUUUAGAAAUGCACAACCACUGUAUAAAUGUUGUCCUUUGUUUGUAGACUCAACUCUAAUAUGAAAAUUGAUGUUCUUUUUAGAAGCAAGACAUGUCCAGUAAUUUUCCUUUUGAGCUUUUCUAGUUCUUCCUGGAUCCCUUUUUUGAGCUUUAAGGCUGUAUUUUGUACAAACAUGAGUAUGAGUAGUUCCAACGUUAUUCUAUCUUUUUAUUGAGAAAUGAUAACUCCAACAAUUUCUUUGUUCUCAACGCUUCCCAAACGAAGCCUUAUAAAAAGAUGCCCUUCGAUACUUCUCAAUAAGUAUUCGAUUGUAAUUCACGUGAAACCACACAAGCUGUUAGUCAUCUCUCUUGAUGAAUAACACAGUGAUCUUUGCCUGGGAUCUCACUGCAUUUGUGUCAAAAAAAUUUUGACAUCACAGAACCAAAAUUUUCUUAUCUUUUUCUUUGGCACACUUUGCACUCACAAAAUCCUUGAGGUUCUGAGUAAAACCAACUCAGGCUGAAGAUUUCGCAAGUCUGGCAAAUGACUUCACUUUUAAACCCCCAAGUAAACAAGCCCAACCUCCAUUCCGAAGGUUUCAUUGUUUGUCCUUAUCUGUUAAAGUACUAUUGAAUAGAAAAAUGAUGUGACGUUUUGGUUGCCAUGCGAUUGCCAAGGCAAAAAGUGAUCAUUACUGUUCAGACGUGACUAUCUUUACGACUUUAAGCGCGAUUUUCAAGGUGAAAUAUGGCAUGAUCUUAAUUGCAACUGUUUGGAAAUCAAAUUGAGUGUACGUAUAAAAGGGGAUUUGGGGAUUCUAUUCCAAUUUUACGCUCACUUCAAAUUCUCAAAAGAUUUUUUAUUCUUUUCUCUCUAAUAUUCUUCUACUUCUUCAAAAACCUAACAAUAGCGGCUAAGCAAGGUCAACCGUCUCAAACAACUGAUGAUGUUUCUUCUCAACCCAUCAUGAAGAUUCAAAGCACAAGCUAUCAAGUUCAUGGAGAUGUCAAUGCUUAUCUAGAGGGUUUACAGAUGCUCAUAGUUGCUCUUCAAAAUUUUGUGUUGUCGACAACUAUGUUCAACUCGUUUUUCGUGCCACUUUCUUGGCUGUCACUUGUUGGUUCUACGGCCACUUACAGCAAGACAAUGAAGAUUGUGACAUUUCAGAUGGUGAAUGACAAGAAAUUCAGGUUAUCGAAGAAACUCUUUGCUCAAAUUCUAAAUAUCCCCAAUGUUGAACCUUUCUACAAGGUAACGAAUGAACAAGUCAUUAAUAUGUUCAAUGAGAUGGGUUAUCAACCUAUUCUUAUUAUGAUCAGUGACUUUAAGGAGUCUGUAUUGCCUUGCAUUUGGAACUUUUUAUUUGGUAUAUACCUUCGAUGCUUGACGGGUCGAAGUGUGGGAUUAGAUCAAGCUCGAUUGGAAGUUUAUGCUAUGGUGGCUGGAAUAUACUAUGAUUUAUCGGUGGAAUCAACAAUUCAACUAUGGGAUGAGUUUGUGAAGAGUAUUGGGAAUACAAAUGUAGUCGAUGGGAUUUCUUGAGCUUGCUAUUGGAGUCUUAUUCUGCAAUUUGUUUAUGAAAAGGAAGGCAUUAUGUUUCCAGAAGGUGAAGAAUCAGCAGAAUUCUCCACAUAUCACUAUCCCAAAACUGUCGAAGACAAUCCAGAUGUGUUUCCUACUGUUGCUCGUAUCCCAGAUGCGAUGCUUCACAAAGUUAAUACCUAAAACCCCAUAUUGGUAGCCUAUUUUCAUACCAUCAAUCAAAAUUGGAAUGUUGCUGCAAAAGUCGAAUGAAGGUCAUUCUAAGAAGCGCAGAGGAUCCAAGAAGGUUGAUCAGACUAGUCCUUCGAAAGCUAGUCAUGUACUAGUUGAAAAAUUGGCUAAGUCACCAAAGCAAGAAGUUAAAGGAGAAAAACUUUUGAAGAAAAAUUCCAAGCCUAUUGUUGAAGAAACAGCAAUAUCUUCGAAGGAGGUGAUACCUAUGAAAUCAGACAUGAUGAAACGGUUGAAGAAAAUGGCUCAUAAACCACGACAUUCACCUGAACGAUCAUCAAGCUUUUCUUCAACAGCAAGGGGGUUGUGAUUCGCGAAAUUCCAACACCAUUAUCUCCAGCUUCGAAGAAAAGGCGUGUUGAAGACAUGGACAAACAAAUUUCAAAGAAACAAAAGAAACAGAUGAAGUUGAUUGUCAAUGAAGACUCCAUGGAUGAUGAAGUAGUUCCUGAAUCUCCACUUAUAGGUGACAAAACGGGCAAUUCUUCACCUAUGAGGGGUUCUCCAGUCAAGUCGAAUCCUGAGGCGACUAGAAAUCCUUAUGGCAAUGUGGAAAUUUCUAAAGUCGACACAACCAUCAAUCAAAAUGAACAACCAAAGACUUCUACUCCUAAGCAGACUAUUGUCAAACCACUCGGAGUGUCGACUACCAAAUCAAUUCUUGAGGAGGUUCGCACUACAGGCAUCACUGCGAACAUAUCUAAUAUGGACGCAAAUGUAAAUAAGGGUGAUGGAGCAUCGAAUAAUGAACCCAAGGUAAUCCUUCUCUUCUAGUUUCUUCUACUUUUGAAAUAACUGUUGUUGAUACCACAGUCUCUCUACCACCAUUCCUUAUUCCUACUACAUCAGAAAUACCUACAUCAACCCACUCACCUACCUUCGAUAAUAUCAUGAAACAACCUAUUACUUCCUUAUUCCCAUCCCAAUCCACAGAAGGUCCAAAGACAGUUAAUAACGAUGAAACUGACGAUGGUGAGUUAAUGGGUUCAUUUGUGGACAUAGAGUUUAAUGUUGAAGAAGAAAACAUACCUGACCACAUUUUGAUGUCUGGAAAAUAGUUUAAGAUUCUAAAUAGGAACCUUAACUCUUUGCUCAAAUUACAAGCAAAUUCAAGGGGUAAACACUCAGUUUCAGGCAUAGAGGUAGAUGUGAUGCUGAAAGCUCAAGAGCAUCGUAUUCAAGACAAACUUGAUCAGAUGGACAAGAUCAAUGAGUUAGGAGUCCAAACUCAGUCAGAAAAGUUUAACGGUGCCCUUCAUGAAUUAAAGUCAAUUGCAAAAGAACGACAUGUUCUUUUCAUUCAAGAUGUCCAGACUGUUCGAGAAGAUGUAAAUCGAAAAAUUGAGGAGUUACGGGUUGACAUGGAAAAGGAGAUUAAGGACUUGACUCACAAUUAUUCUUCUCUUCUCACGAAGGUUGAUAUAAUUAUUGAGGUAGUGAUGAAAAUGGUUCAGUGGUAUAAUUCCAUGGCUCCAAAACUUGAUAAGAAGGCUGAAGCAAAUUUUACAAGUUUUAAGAAUGUUUCGAAGUUGUUGGGUGAACUAAAGGAUCAAGCAAUCAAAUUCGGAUCUUCGUUAUCUUCAUUACUUCUGAAUUCUUCACUCAGAAAUUUCGCAUGUUUGAGUCAACAAUUCACAAAGAAUUGGGUCCACUAGCGAAGUUUGCAAAUUUCAUGCCAACGGAUGGCCCGCCUAUUGUCAUAAGGAUGCAAGGGGGAGAAAGGAGAAAUGUUGGCAGUAGUAACGGCGAAGGAGGUUAUGGCAAUGCAUGUGGUGAUGUGAAAGUAGUUGGAAAAGUUUUAAGACUAAACUGCACAAAUGGUCCCUGUGGUUAGCUGAAAAUUGCCACUUUGGUCCAAAAAGGUUUGGACUAGCACCAAAGGUCCUAACUUUUCAUUUUGUUGUAAGUUUGGUCCAAUUUGCUUUUAACUUUUUUAUAAUGACGAAUUUUCCCUUAGCUUUUGCUUUUUCAGUUUUUUUUUUUUGUAUUUAUUUAAAUACUUUUAUAAUUAAAAGAAUAAUAAAAAUGAAAAUUUCUCUCUCUCUCGAACAGUUCAUAUCUUCUACCUGGUUUUUCAAGCAUAGGGGUACCUGGUUCCAUAUUCGAACAAUCCUUCAGCUUAAUAAUGUUACGAGAAGGGUCAGGAAGAUCAUCUAUAAGAACAUCAACAACUAAAGGGAUAGGAAUCGAAGAACUUGAACCAGAUUUAUCAAAUUUGCACUACCCUUCAAACUCAAAAAUCAAUAUUAUAGGAAUUUCACUUCUGUACUAAACUUUUUGACAAGUAAUGAAACCAAUUUAGGUUGCAAAGGGUCAAAAUGAUGAUUAUAGGUGUCAACAGGAACUAAUUUUGAGUCAAUAAUCAUUUUUGCACUUAUUUCCCCUUCCGAUGUAAGAACAUCGAGAUUCAGAUAUGGGGGAUACCCUCCAUGAAUAUGACCAACAACUAAAUCCAAGGAAAGAGGAGAAAAGGGCAUUCAAGACGAGAAGAUGAAGGAACCAAGGCACCCACCAGAAAGUCAACUACAACUCACCUGAAAUCUUCACUAUCAGAUUCUCCCUCUCGUUUUUCCAACAUCUCAGGUUUGAUUCGUUAAUUUUCCAUCAACAAGAAUCUUGGAGAACACACAAAAGGAUUUUGUUAUGGGUUUAGGGUCGGUUCAUCCAAGAGCAAAGAUCAUCCUCCUUAAAUCCCUGAUUUUGUUUUCGAUCAACAAAAAUCGAUUUUGAUCUUUGUUUUGAGGUAUGAUAAUGGAGGGGAAGCAAAAUGGAGGGGCUACCUUUUUUACAGUGUGAAUAUAUGUGUGUUUUUUAGGAAGACGAUGGGUGUGUGUUUAGGGAAGAAGAUAGGGUUGGUGGAGAUAUUUUGGCCUGUAAGAGAGAAAGAGAGAGAGAGUGAGAGAGAGAGAGGGAGAGAGAGAGACAAAGAAAGAGAAAGAGAGAGAGAGAUUUUCUUUUUUAUUUUUCUUUUAAUUAUAAAAGUGUUUAAAUAUAUAAAAAACUGAAAAAGCAAAAGGUAAGGACAAAAUAGUCAUUAUAAAAAAGUUCAAAGCAAAUUGGACCAAACUGGCAACUAAAUGAAAAGUUUGGGCCUCUGGUGCUAGUCCAAACCUUUUUGGACCAAAGUGGCAGUUUUCAGCUAACCAGAGGAACCAUUUGUCUAGUUUAGUCAAGUUUUAACUACUCAAAUUCCAACUUCCUUACCAAAACAUCUACGAUAACAUCAUCAACAACAACUACAACAAAACCAAUUACCAAGGGAAUUGUGAUUGGAUCUGCAAGUGGAGGUUCAAGUUCUUCGAAAAAACCUCCUACUACUCAAGAAAUGCAGAACAAAGGGAAGGGUAUUUCUACUGAGCUUUCUGUUGAAGAAAAGAAAGUUGCUCUGGAAAAAGAGAUAGAGAAACAAAAGCAAAUCCAGAGUAUUCUUCGUCAAAGAGAAAAUGACCCUCCUGGUCUCAACAAAGGUGAUCCUGCAAAGCUUUAUUCUUAUGAAUAUAUCGAAGCUUUAGUUGUUUCGGGGGAGAUGCACGAUUUUGGAAAAGUACUGAAGAAAAGCUACGAUACAAAGAACACUAACUUCAAUCAGUUAGACUUCCCAAUCAACAAAUUGAUGUUCAUUGAUGAGUAGUUUGAGAUUGCAGAUCAAUACAAAGACAAGAUUGAAUUCAAACGUAUGAAGUUUCGAUUCCAUGCAGUGCUUGGAAAAAGGGAGGAGGAGAUAUGGUCUUUAGUCAAGAUAGUUCAGGUUCUUAAUGUAUCCAGAGAUGUUUUAUUUGAGGAUAUGUUACAGAAUUAUCGAUAUCAUGCAUCUGGGCCAACAAUGUUGCAUUUGACUUCUCGGUUGCAGACUUCCCUUUAAUGAAUUUGUCUAAUCUGAUGAUUGUUGCGAAGAUAAUGAAGACUGUUGAUGUUUCGAAGCUGCAAGUAACAAACAAAGAAGAUUUUAUGAUGGGUUUUGCUCACUUGAAAGUGUUUAUUGAUGGAUAAUAUGGUUCUUUGGCAUUAACAGAUGUUGAGUUAGUGUUAGCAUUGGAUAAACUGAUAACUGUUCCUCAGUCCAUGUUAAAUACUAAAGCUAGCUUGAAAGAUUGUGAAGAUGGAGAGAUUUGCUUGAAACCUCUAGGAAUUGAGUUUGUUGGCAAAAACAAGAAGGGUAACAACACAAAAUUUAUGUUUCAAGUAUGUGAUGUUGAGAGGUAUCCUACUUCUCAUUACAUAAAUCUCUUGAUUCGAAUGAACAGAUGUGUUAAGAACAAUGAAAAGGAUAAAGAUGAAAUUCAAAAAAUGGUAAAUUGGUAUGUUGAAGUUCGAAGAGUUAUUCACCAAGUUGCUACAAUGUUGUCGUCUUAUAUUCGACACUUCUCACAAAAGGGGGAGAAUGAUGUCGAAUAGUGUUGUGAGGUGUCGAAUGUCUUGAAAAGUUUCAAUAGUUUGUAAUGUUAUUAUAAGGGCAUUUUUGUUUCGAAGCUUUCAUGUAAAGUCCCUUAUAUUUUUGUGUGCUUUCUGAAUCUCUAUAAACAGGGAGGUGUACUAGAGAUAAAGAAGCACUUUCGUGAUUUUGUCUAAACUCUCUUUGUACUUUGAAAGCAUAAUUGAGCCAAACAGACUUUAUUUAGAUCUCGUGUUCAUCAUUCUUACUUUACUCCGAUAUUGUAAUUCAAUUUCAAUUUCAUUAUAACAACACAUCAAUCCGCGGAUGGGGAUAAUGGUUCUUCAUUGUUAACUUAUUUAACUCCUGAUAAUCAAUGCACAUCUAGUGUGAACCAUCCUUCUUCUUAACGAAUAAAAUCGGUGCUCCCCACGGAGAACUGCUCGGACGGAUGAACUGCUUGUCUAGCAGCUCCUGCAGCUGAGAUGACAGCUCCUGCAUCUCAAGCGGUGCCAAUUGGUACGAUGCCUUGGCAAUAGGGGUCGCACCUGGCAUAAGGUCGAUACUAAACUCAACCUGCCUCUCAGGAGGCAUACUAGGUAACUCCUCCGGGAAUACAUCAGUAAACUCCCUAACAAUCGGAACAUCAGCAAGUGACACUUGAUCCCCAACCCGCCUGUCCACCACAUAAGCCAAAUAACCUGCACAUUCGUGUUGAAAAUAUUGUCGAGACCUGGCUGCCGAACAAAAACUUGAACCCAUCCUGGUUACCUCUCCAUAAACAUCUAGUGCUGUCUUGGCCUCCUCGGCGGUGAGUUGGAUAGCGCGACCUCGAGCCGUCGACGGCUCCGUCUUCCCCUGGCGCCCAUCUGUGAUCCUCAAAGUAACUGGCACGGGGGCCUACGCCGGCUUGGCGGCGAGCAAUGGACAGCUGACCUUCACAUGGCCAACCUAAUCACAAUGAUAGAAAAUCCUUGUACUCUGUAUUGGGGCUAACUGGCGACAAUCCCUCGCAUAGUUCCCCUCCUUUCCAUACUUGUGGCAUACUCCUCUUGAUCAACAUACAUCAUCAUGAACCUUUCCGCACUUCCCACAAGUACGGCCUCGCUGACCCCCAGACCUAGAAUCAGCGGCCUUGAACCGCUUUGGUGUCGGCUGCAACUGUGCCGAGGCCGGUCUCUGCUCACUCAACUAAAGCUCUAUCUUAAGCUCACGCCGCCUGGAGGCCUCCUACAACUCCAACAAAGAAUAAAACCACUAGGUAGAAACAAACUAUCUGAUAUCCAUCUUGAGCAUACUCAGAUAACUAGUCAUUUGAGCCUGCUCUGAAGCAAACUCAAGGCAAAACAUAGCCCUCUAAGUAAACAUCCGGGUGAUCUCCAUCACCAACUAUGAUCCCUACUUUAGGUCUAAAAAACUCCUCAGCCAACCUCUCUCGCUUGACUUGUGGAAUGUAGCGAGUAUGAAACAUCUCCAUGAACUGAUCCCAACAUAUCGCAGCCCUCUGCACAAUAGAAUACAAUCCUAUAACAAGUCUCCACUAAUCUUUCACGUCGGACCUCAGAAGGUUCAGAGCGCACCUGACCUUCUGGUCAGCAGGGCAUGAACUAGUAAAGAAACAUCCCUCCACAUCAGAUAGCCAUAUCAUGGCCACGAUCGGGUCUUGAACUCCAUGGAAAGUUGGGGCUUUAUAUUAUCCAAGUCUUGAUACUGAAAGACCCGCCCUGUCCCAACACCUACAGCCGCCACGACUGUGGAGGCUGCAGCAACAGCCGUCACAGCAAUGGGUGCAUAAGGAUCAUCAAAGAACUCCAUAAUCACGGUCUUGAUAGACCCGAACAUCUCCAGAAUCUGACCCCAGACAAUAGCAACCACCUCCUCGCGAAUGAUCUCCCUGACGCGAUCCUCUGACAAUACCGGCUCACCCAAUCUGGCGGCUCCUGAUCCCGAUCCGGGUCCGAUCUCAACUCGCCUCGUAGUCAACAUAUUGAAAAUACACUAGGAAGAUAUCAGAUAAUCCACAUAUCAUAACGGGGAACCAACUCCCAAUGAAGCCCUAGGGGUUGUGACUUACUUUUUACGCGUACGGGUCCUGCGCUUUCAGUAUUACGGGCCCAUACUACCUUCCAUCCCUACUCGUAUUUGUCUCAAGGAUCAUUACAACGCCCUAAAAAUAAUCAUAAGCAAAGAUGAACACUCAAUCCUCACUCCCUAGAGGAAAGGCUAAACAUCUCACGACUGGCCGGCUGACCUCACACAACUCAUCCAUGAAACUUCCACCAACCCUGCAGCACUCGUGUAUGCUAGCCAUACAUAACAUUGGACCCUAUACACAUUCAAAUAUCUGAUCCUACCCUAAGCCCUUCAUCAAACAACAAAAAGGAAAUAAGGUCAAACCAAACUUCUUAGGCUAUAAGAUCUUAGUUAUAUAUAACCAUGAUGCAUACACUAAGAAACUAUAGGAAUGAUGUCAAUUCCAUAAAAGAAAGGUCCUAGGCUAUCAUGCAUCAUAUAAUCAGACAAUUCUAUUAUGCAAUUCCUGAAGAUCCCUAGCCUAUUACUAGCAAGUUCUUCUAACAUAUCACAAUAUCAAGUAAUAGUAUGGUAUUUUGGUGUCUACUUACUGGCUCCGUUGAUCGUACACAUUGCAUCCUCCUUGAGUAUUUUGAAAACCAUUUGAAAAAAACCAUUUUGAACAUCUUUCCUUAGUUUGAGACUGGAUUCACAUGAGUGUUCCCCCAAUUCACUCAAACCAAGGCUCUGAUACCAACUUGUAACAUUCGAAAAAUUUUGGAAAAUUUUAAAAAUUUUAAACAACCACAAAACCAUCAUUUAUUACAAUUUGUUUUCAAAAUAAGUUUCACAUCAGAGUGUUCCCAGAAAUCAUAACACAAAACACGAGAAAGUGCAUGAUCAAGUCUUCACCUUCUCGCGAUCAUCUGAGGUACCUGAAACAUAAUCCAAAACUGUAAGCCCAAAGCUUAGUGAGUCUUCCCCAAAAUACCAACACAUCACGAAACUAGAAUAGUACAGCAAACAACAUGCACACAGAGCCUUCAGUCUGACUGGAACACCCCACCAGCCUACAGUCUAUCUGGUAUGCUUAUAGAACCUUAAGCAUGACUCGUACGCCAGCUCAAGCCUUCAACCUAUCUCGAACGUUCUCUGGGCCUUCGGCCUGAUUGGUACGCCCCACUGGCCUUCAGCCUAUCCGCAAAACCCCAGGUAUGUUGUCCUUCAGAACAAAGCAGGACCGCCUCAACCCAACCACACAUAACUUCUCGACAUAUACAUAACUCAUAAACAUAUAAUCAAUCAACAGACAAGCACAUACAGAUCUUACAGAUUUCUAAACAUACUGUCAUCCUAUCUACCAGAGUAUAAUUCCAACAUACCACAACAAUACUCAAUCAUACAAUAAUCAGGAUAACAAUCCAAAAGGGACGGCCUUGGUACCUUCGACCCAACAAGUACAGUGAGGAACACUAACCACACAAGUAGUUCAUAACUGAUAAAGUCCGACUCUAAUUCUUAGCUCCCGACUCAAAGCCUACAACCAUUAUGACUAACCCAUCAAAAUCACGAAAUUCCUAAAUUGCCCUCAAAAUUCCAACUUGGUCAACCAUGGUUCAAAGUCAAAGUCAAUGGUCAAGGUCAACAUUCCAUGUUGACCCAACUCAUCGAGUGCACCUCUGGAAAUCGUUGAGUUCUACAGUACUCAAAAAGUCAGGAAAAACCCUAGCCAACUCGCUGAGUUGUCAUGACAACUUGUUGAAUUUUCCCCAGCUUAACACAUACAACUGGUUCUUCGAUUCCACGGACUCUAAGGCUCAGAUCUAAACUCCAAAUGUGUCUAAAAGGAUAAAUUUUCCAACUUUAUCCUUUGGGACUACUCCAAAAGCUCAAAAUCCUUCCAUAAUGCUUGAAACCUUAAAGGCUUAACCAUUAAGCACAAAAUCCUUGAGAUCUGGAACCCAACCUUUCCAAAAGAGAUUCUAGUCUCAAAAACGUCCAAAAGGUUGGUGCUUUAUAGACAUGCAUGUCCAAUGCAUGUCUGGAACCCAAAAUGGGUCAAAAAGGAAAAUAUGACCUAAAAUUCCAUGCAUGGCAUCAAAGCUUGACAAAAGACCAGAUCCAACCCACUAUAAGACCACUUUGACCUAGAGAUUCAUAAAGUUGCAAACUUUAUGAAGUCCAUUCAUUGCAACAUCCAGGAAUUAGGAGAAAAAGAGACCAAACUCAAGAUCUAGCCGCAUACAUAGAUAAAAAUUGGAUCUUGAAUACUUACAACGGUCCAAAAGAGUGUCAAACUGAAGAUGAGAGCUUAGCUUGCAAGAUCCUUGCCUCGUUCUCUAAAUCUUCUCCUUCUUUUUCUCUAAUAUGCCGCACUAACUCACAAUACGAGAUGAAAUGAAGAUUAGGGUUCACAAGGCCGAUAUUAGGGUUUGGAGGCUGAUAAAAGAUCAACCUCAAGGACUUAAGGAGGUUAUAUAGGGUGCAAACCCUAAUAAUUAGGGUUUCAUACUCAUCCACCAACUCGUCGAGUUUUCCUCUCCAACUCGUUGAGUUGGUCCAAAAAGACGUACGGCCCAAAGCCUUUCAACACGUCGAGUUGGGCCAUCAAAUCGAUGAGUUCCGAAGGAAACUUACCUUUUGAAUAAUAAAUAUGAUACCUAGAAAUCGGAAUGUUACAGUUUACAUCUCAUGUUCAUGACUCUAAGUCAUUUAUUAGAUUCGAGAUCUAACAUAACAUCUUGGUAGUUAAUGGAUUUACUAGAAACCAUCAAGAAAAGCUCAUUAAUGAGAGAUUCCAUAUUUAUUUUGAAAGAGAGAGAGAUUCCAUAUUUCUCAAGUCAAAGAUGAUUCCUACCACUAAUGCGAACAAAUUUUGUUUGUGCUCAGCUAUUAUUCAAGUUUAACAAUCCCGUGCUAAAACAAGUGUCAACUGUUACUACAUCAAGUUAUUGUUCUUAAGCUGCUUCAAGUUCCACGUAGCUCUCACUUGCUUUGUCAUUGUAAGCUUGCUUUUUAUUAACUUAACUUUCACGGUAAUAAGAUAACUUAUUCUUGGUGGGUCUGCAUAUAAUAAUCUAACCCACAUUUAGAGUAUUAUACAAAUAUGUAUUUAGUAGAUUUUGGGUUUAGAAUCUUUAAUCCCACAUAGGCUUAAAAUCCACAAAACAUUUAUAUAAGAUAGGGAUGGAGCCUUUCAAUACAAAAUCUUAUAAAGAAAAUGUUUUAUCUACUUAUUAGUUAGUAGUGUACUCAAGAUAUAAUUGAUAGUGUUCUAGGUGUUAUCCCAAUGAAAUAAAAGGAACACAUUUCUACCGAUUAGAAAGUAAAUCAAACCAAGUAAGAUUUAAUUCAUCAUUUAUUAUCAUUAAGGCUUUAGAUAGUUCUUAAUGUUUUGUAUUUCAACUUUAUAUUUGAAACCUUCAACAUAUAUUUCACAAUUAUUUUUUAACAUGUAAACUAUAAUUUAUAACUAUUAUAGUUGUUAAUAAAGUUAAUUUGCUAUCUUGUGCUAAAUCUUAGAAAUUUAUUAGAAAGGAAAUCAUACAUCAUAGUGUGUAGUCCAUUAAUAAACUGUUUUCUCUAUUACUUAGUGAAAAUAUCAUUAUAAAUCUUUUAUAUAUAAAUAGAUCUCACAUAUUUCAAAUAAACUAUAUUAUAUGCCCUCAAAUAUCUCUUUCUUGAAGUUGAAAUAUGUGAAUGUCAUUUAUAUAAUAAAGAUAACAAUGUCAAAUAUGAGUUUGAUUUAAAAAAGAAUAAGUCACAAGUACUUUGCAUAUAGAAAUUAUGAUUUAUAAAACAUUGAUAUUUAUUUUAUAAUUCUUAUUAAGAGAUCUAGUCUCAUAAAAAGAAUUUUAAUCAUUUUCGAAUAUGAAGGUGAUCGUUAUGAAAAACGAUUUAAGUAAAUAGUCAAUCAUUCAUAAAUUAAAUUGAGACAUAUAUUUAGACAAGCUAAAUAAAAACAUACAUUGUUCCAAAACAAUCAUUGUUCUACAAUACAAGUACAUUAUGUUCCUAGCAUAAUUAAUAAACUAAACCCCGAGAGUAUAGUUCCAACUUUUUUUUUGAAGAGAUAUUUUUUUUAAAAAAAUAAGAAGAAAUUUUUACAUAGACGUAACGGGUAAACGAGCAACAACCUGUGCCGCAACCCAUUUUUGGAUGGCAAAACUAAUUCUUUUAAAAACAACAUCUAUAGAUCUUAGAGUCAGAAUAUUACUAUGCAUGACCCGUUGGACUCUAUUGAGUAGCUCCACUGCUUCUGGCACAAGGAAACAAAAAGUAUCAAAUGCAGAGGGUAUAAACGUGUGUUGAUUUUCCAUGCAAGCUUUCUCAUGUUUUGCCACUUUGCUUGAUGCAGCUUGUCCCAUAAUGAAAACCCUACUCCCCAGGCCCACAAGAGGGGAAACCCUUGUUAGAUCCACGCAUGCAUGUUUCCUCCAGCCCAUCCAAAUACUAAAACAUCAGCUAGUCUAAGUGUUGAUCUUCCUUCCAAUGGGUCGGUCAAAAAAUUCACAGGUGCCUCUUUCUUGGCAGAAACGCCAGCACGCCUAAAUAUAUCGAAAAGAACAUCCCUAACCAGAUCGUGUCGGUACUUAAAACCAAUGAGCUCAUUACAAUGAACUUCAUGCUCCCCAAAGGAGUCCAAACAUGCCUUACGACAAACAAGGAAAGUCUCGUCAGGCAGAAAUAAAGGGAUCAUAAAGCAAUACUUGAGGAUGGCACGAUACUCCACUGGCGACAUAUGCUGGCCAAGACCAUAAAUAGGAAUAGUCACAAGGAAAUCAUGAGCAUGUUGGGCCCUUAUACACUCAAAAAUUGCUUUCUUCUUAAUCAUCAUGUCGAAGUGAACUUCCAUGUCUUGGAAAAUUUUACUAAAAAGGGCAUUCUACAAUGAAUGUUGGGCUUUUGGAGGGGCAGUGUCUUUAUUAAUUAAACCGCUGAAAUCAAAGCCCGGACCUGGAAUCGUAACAUGAAGACAGGCCAAAGCAGAAACAUAAUCUGAAUCCAUACCACAUAUGCCACUAUUUCGUAAGAUGUGAUCUUGUAACGCCCACGAUUGAGCUCGUGAGGCAACAAAAGCAUAGGAGGAAGACUCUACUGCUGAGUACAACCCCAAAACACCGAGCCUAAUUGUUCACGAAGCUAGUCGCCAUUGAAGGUCCCCAAAGAACGGACCCCCGUAAACCACAAUGUCCUAAUUUGACCCACAUAUCCCUUUAUCAAAACACAAAGCAGCCUCUUCCAUAUGAACGGGUUGGCACGUUCUCGGGCCAAAGAAAAGUUUGGCAAUGCCCAUACAAGAUCGAAGCAAAAGGAGUUCACUAUGGGGAUCAUGUAACUGUGGUAGAAGGCGCAUCAAAUCUGUCACACCCCCAAACCCGACGGUGGAAACGUCCGGGGGUGGAUGACUUCAUUUGUAGUAUCACAACACAUGUAGCAUAGUAAUCAAAGUACAAACAACCAUUGCAUUAAUAUGUAUAAGUUUUUACAUGUGAUCAAUCAUUCAGAAAACAUAAUCGUUAUACAAAAGAAAAAGACAUGACUCAAAAUAGCUCCAUCUUCUCAAAAGCUCAGGGAGUACCUGUCUAUUAAUUCCCUGAGAAUACAAGUAAUUUGAAAAGAGAGUAUCAACAUAAAGUUGAGUGAGUGCAUAAGUAUUUAUGUUUGAAAGUAUGUUUUCUGUUCCUUGAAUAUGUAAACUGUUCCAGAAAAUCCUAUAUUUUCUGUUGUAAGUGCAAAGUAGUUUUAAUCUCAUAAAACCGUUUUGUUUGUAAACCAACGUUCUGUAUUUGUAUUCCUUUAUGUAAAACUUAUAAGUGUGAGUGUGCCUGGUUCCCCCAGCUGUUAUUGUAAAAUGUGACAUAAUACUGUAAAUUGUAUCAUGUAAACUAGUACUUAGAAAAUGUACUUAUGUUUAGUUAAUUAUACACUAAUGUAUUGUUAAUAUCUUUUUAAUGAGUUAUUAUAACCAUACUGAGACUAGAUGGCCUGACCCAAUGCUUUGAAGGCGUCAAAAACUGUUAUAACAACUGUCACUCGUAGGCGUGUAUGACUGACUGUAGCUAGCAGUCUGAGUGUGGGGUUGUCAAUCCCAAUUGUUUCGAUCCCUAGCUGGAGAUUCUGGUUAUAAUGUUAGGACUUUAACUAUGUUGUUUAAAUGAAUUAAACAACCCGAACCAAAUUACUCAUAAAAAGCAUAUAGACGUUACAUGUAUAAUAUUAUGAAAACCCAAUCAUUAUAAAAUGAAUUAUUAAUAGUAUGCCCCUGAAUUAGUAUAUGAUAGUUGUAUACUCUUGUUUAGUUUUGAAUCAAACCUUUGUUCUUGUAAACCAGUGUACUUUAGUAUACUUGAAUCGUGAAUUAAUAUUCUAUACUUGAAUCGUGAAUUAAUAUUCUAUGAAUCAUAAAUUAUACCUAUUAUAACUUAUAUGUACUUUCUGAAUUGAUACUAAGUGUUCAUGAAUGCAACCCUUCGCUCAACAUGUUACAAAGGGGUAUCUAAACCGAAUGAAAUAUCUUUUAUAUUUAUAUACAUAUACAAUUAUAUAUAAGUAAAAUUUAAUCGACAUUCGGACGAAUAACCAAUACUAUAGNUAAAAGAAGUUUAAUAUUUUGAAAUAUAUUUGGUGACUUGAUGUCAUUUUAACACAAUCUUUGAAACCAAUUGAUUUGAUGUUAACUAAAAUUCAUUUUGAUAAGAUAUUUUGAAACCAUUUGUUUAUAACACAUAAUCUUUGUGUUAAACUUGUAUUUCUCCCCCCCCCCCCCCCCUUUAAAACAGUAAAAACUAUGAAAAUAUGGGGGUAUGAACUCACCUUUUGGAUGGUGAUUCAACUAAUUGGCUUUACAAGAUAGAAAAAUAACGGGAUGUUACAUUAUCCNUAUAAAAAAUAACGGGAUGUUACAUUACCCCCCCGUUAGAGAGAAUUUCGUCCUGAAAUUUGGAUUAAAGAGAUAUAGAAAGAAUAGGGAAAAAGAUGUGGAUACUUCUGUUGCAUUUGAUCCUCCCGCUCCCAAGUGAAUUCAGGUCCCCGUUUUGAAUUCCAGCAAACCUUCACUAUCGGGAUACGGCUUUGUUUGAUUCUCUUUACAACCCUGUCUAAGAUCUCUACAGGUUCUUCCACAAAGUUGAGAUUCUCUUUUAUCUUGAUCUCAUCAAGUGGGAUAACAAGUGUCUCGUCGGAUAAGCACUUUUCAAGUUAGAGACGUGGAAGACAGGAUGUAUGUUACUUAGUUCUUGGGGUAGUCAGAGUUUGUAAGCUACUGGACCGAUUCUAGCAAGAAUCUCGAAUGGUCCUAUGUACCUUGGAUUCAGCUUGUCAUGCUUUCCAAAGCGUAUUAUGCCCUUCCAGGGUGAGACCUUCAACAAGACGCGGUCACCAACCUGGAAUUCCAAAGGUUUUCUCCAUUUUUUCAGCGUAGCUUUUCUGUCUAUCUCUGGAAGCUUUAAUUCGUUCCCGAAUUUGUACGAUUUUCUCCAUAGUUUCACUAAUGAUUUCUGGACCAAUGAGAAUAACGUUAGGAAUUUGACCUCUAGUUAGCUAUGUGUCACCCACUUCAUCCUAGCAUAGAGGUGAUCUGCACUUGCGGCCAUAGAGGGCUUCGAAAGGAGCAGCCCUUAUGCUAGUGUGAUAAUUGUUGUUGUAAGAGAAUUUGACAAGGAGUAAAUGAGUAUCCCAUGCCUUUCCAAAGUCUAUCACGCAAGCUUGCAACAGAUAUUCUAGAUUUUGAAUCGUCCUCUCACAUUGUUCGUCAGUUUGUGGAUGGUAGGUUGUACUCAUGUCCAACCUAGUUCCCAGAGAGUUUUGUAAAGACUGCCAGAAACGAGAAGUGAAUCUACUAUCUCAAUUAGAAAUAAUAGAUAUUGGCACACCAUGAAGUCUAACUAUUUCUAUGAUGUAAGUUCGUGUUAGCUUCUCCAUCUUGUCGAUUUCUUUUAUGGGCAAGAAGUGUGCGGAUUUGGUCAAUCUAUCGACGAUUAGCCAAAUAGUAUCAUAACCACCCGUUGUCUUGGGUAACUUAGUUAUGAAAUCCAUCGUAAUCGGCUCCCACUUCCAUUCAGGUAUUUCAUGUUGUUUCAAUAAACCUGAAGGUUUCUGGUACUCUACCUUAACUUUGGCACAAGUAAGGCAUUUGCCAACAAAGGUAGCAAUUUCGGCCUUCAUGUUAGGCCACCAAUAUAGUUUCUUGAGGUCCAGGUACAUUUUGUCUGAACCUGGAUGAAUGGAGUAUCGGUUUUCGUGUGCUUCAUUCAUAACCACGUCUCUGUAACCACCGAACUUUGGUGUCCUGAUUCGGUUCAUGAAACAAUAGACUCCAUCAUCCCUGACUUCGAAGUUCUUAUCCAUUCCUCUCAGGGUUUCACCUGCCAUGUUUUUGGGUUUCAAGGCCUCGAGUUGAGCCUCUCUGAUCUGUGUGGACAGAUGUGAAUGGAUUUUCAUGGUCAACGACUUUACUCGUCGUCCUGAAUAUUCUUUUCUGCUAAGGGCGUCAGCUACCACAUUGGCUUUACCAGGGUGAUAACGAAUCUCGCAUUCGUAAUCGUUCAGUAGCUCCACCCACCGUCGUUGCCUCAUGUUUAGUUCUUUUUGGUCGAAGAUAUGCUGAAGACAUUUAUGGUCCGUGAAUAAUGUACAUUUCAUGCCAUAUAGGUAAUGUCUCCAUAUCUUCAUAGCAAAUACUACUGCUCCUAGAUCAAGGUCAUGCGUUGUAUAGUUGACCUCAUGCGUCUUGAGCUGUCUCGAGGCGUAGGAUAUAACAUUUCCUCAUUGCAUCAAAACACAUCCAAGCCCUUGAUUAGAAGCAUCACAAUACACUACAAAGUCCUCUAUCCCUUCAGGUAGAGACAGGAUCGAUGCACUGCACAAAGCUUGUUUCAGCGUUUGGAACGUUGUUUCUUGCUUCUCUCCCCAACUAAAAGUUACAACCUUUUGUGUCAAGUUGGUAAGCGGUUUAGCGAUUUGGGAUAAAUUCUUGAUGAAUCUGCGAUAGUAGCCAGCAAGACCUAAGAAUUGACGGAUUUUUGUAGGUGUUUUGGGUGCUGACCAGUUCUCAAUUGCCUUAAUUUUGGAAGGUCCACAUGUAUUCCCUCCUGACUAACCACGUGACCCAGGAAAUCUACCUUCCUGAUCCAAAAUUCACAUUUUGAGAGCUUCGCAUAGAGCUUCUCUGUUCUGAGAGUUUCCAGUACUUGAAGAUGUUGGCCAUGAUCCUCUUCACUUCUUGAGUAGAUAAGGAUGUCGUCAAUGAAGACUAUGACAAAUUUGUCCAGGAAUGGACGACACACUCUGUUCAUCAAGUCCAUGAACACAACAGGUGCAUUCGUCAAUUCGAAUGGCAUCACUACAAACUCGUAAUGACCGUAACGAGUUCUGAACACGGUUUUGGGAAUGUCCUCAUCCAAAAUCCGUAAUUGAUGAUACCCGGAUCUUAAGUCUAUUUUCGAGAAGUAGCUCACACCUUGAAGUUGGUUGAACAGAUCUUCAAUGUGAGGCAGAGGAUAUCGAUUCUUGAUGGUAAGUUUAUUCAGCUCGCGGUAGUCUAUGCAUAUACGGAACAAUCCAUCCUUCUUCUUCACGAACAAAACCGGUGCUCCCCAGGGUGAGAAGCUUGGUCUUAUGAAACCCUUGCUAAGGAGUUUGUUCAGCUGGAUGGAUAAUUCCUGCAUUUCAGAAGGUGCAAGACGAUAGGGGGAUUUGGCUACAGGGGUAGCCCAAGGGAUUAAGUCGAUUCUGAAUUCGACUUGUCGUUCGGGAGGUACUCCUAGAAGGUCAUCGAGAAAGAUGUCGGGAAAGUUGCAGACCUCAGGAAUGCUCGUGAUGUUUUUCACUUCUUACUUUUUGUCUACCAUGUGAGCCAAGAAAGCACACUACUCCUUACAAAGGUACUUCUAUGCCUUGAUGUAAGAAAUGAUCUGAAGGUUCGUCUCGUGUUUAUCGUCGUAGAUAAUAUAAGUUUCCUUAGUUGGCAAGUUCAGGCGAAUAGCUCUAUCAUAGCAUAAGAUGUUAGCAUGGUUAGGGCACAACCAAUUCAUACCUAUUAUGAAGUCGAAGCUUUUGAUAGAGACCGACAUAAGGUCUAUUGGGAACGAAAAGUUGUUCAAGGUAAGGGUACAUCCUAUGUAUAUAUUAUUGGUGAAUUCGGAUUUCCCAUUAGCCAUUUCUACUGUGAAGGUUUCAUUUAGUGGUUGGGAGUUUUGAUUUAGCAGGUGUUUGAAAUUAUGGCUCACGAAGCUCCUCUCAGCACUAUAAUAAAAAAGAAUGCAUGCAUAAGUAUUGUUGAGAAGAAACGUACUCGUGACCACCACAGGAUCUGCCACGGCUUCUUCGUGACCCAUUGCCAGAAUUCUCCUAACUCCACCAGCAUUUCCAGCUUUCAGACAAUCUCUUUUGAAAUGCCUAACGUCACCGCAUCCAUAGCAUGCUUGACCUACUCUAGCGGCAGGUACUUGGUUGAUCGGUUGGGGUAGUGAUCUACAGAAUCGGGCAGUAUGCCCUUUUCUGUUGCAGUUAUCACACUGCAUUUCCUGGCUAUUUCCAUUGUGGUGAAAAACGCACUUUUUACAUUUGGGGAGAUUACCAACAUAAGGCUUAGUUGGUGCAAGAUUAGUAGGAACAGCAGUAGGUACAGUAGCAACAUGGACCGCCACUAGUUGUUGCUUUUUCGAGAGUUCUUGUGAAGAUUUUCCAUUCCUCUUAUUCCAAACUUUCUUGUUGUUGUUGUUGUUAUUGUUGUUUCCCUUGGGUUGCUCUGGGCUAGCAAUCAUAGAGUUUUGACCAGCUCCAUGGUCAAUGAGCGACUGUUCCAGUUCCUUGGCACCGUCAAAGGUAACAGGCCUGGAAGCUAUGAAACUUGCCUGAAUCUGGGGUGACAGCCCCUAAAUAUACCUCUCUAUCUUUUUGCUCUCCAGAGCAACCAUUUCUAGAAAAAUUGUCGCUAAGUCACAGAAUCGAUUUGUGUAGGUUGUUAUGUCCGAACCAACCAUAGUAAGACCCCAGAGCUCUUGCUCGAGCUUCUGAAUUUCCCUUACGGACAGUACUCCCGCAUCAGUAUGGUCUUUAAGUUAUCCCAAAUUAUAGAAUUAGCCACUACUAGAGUCAGUGACUUAACAUGGCCGUUCCACCAUGUUAGGGCUCUAUCAGUAAAGGUACAAGUAGCAAACUUAACCUUGCUACCUUCCGGGCAGGAGCAAAUCUCAAAGAUUGCCUCUGUUUUCUCAAUCCAUUGCCUUCAUGCCAUGGCACCUCCAGUCCCGUUAAAGAUCAUGGGUAUGGCAUUCGAGAAAUCCUUAUAGGUAUACUCUCGUGAGUGCCCGUGACUCUCGAUGUGGUUAGAGGGAUGCACACCAACUCCUGAUCCACUUGCACCAGGGGUGUUUAUAUGAGACAUAGCGNGCCGUAACCGUCGCCUGAAACAUGGCAGCGUCGAAUUGAGGAGGUGGUGGCGGAGGUGGUGUUGGCGCAUCACUAGCAGGGUUACGCCUUGGGUUUCUCCCAGGAGGCAUAUUUUACUAUAAAAGUUAAUAGAUGAAAAGAUGGUAAGAUAUCAAGAGUGAACAUGAAUAUAAUAUCUUUGAACUAAAACACUUAGUUCAAUAAGAAUCUUGUAGGGAAUUAGAAAUAGAAGUCUACUGCAAGUACAAUUUGCAACAGGAUAAUAUGAAAUUGAGUGGUUAUUUUUCAUAGAGUAUGAAAAUGCAUGUCAAUUAUAAUGGUAUAUUGAGUACAUAGAGUUUGGAAAACUUGACCUUAUACAGGUCUACAAUACACUACAUUACUGGAAAAACAUCGACAUCAAACCGACCUAUCGAAAAUGAAAUUUCCGCGGUCGCACUGAAAAACAUGAAAAAUAACGAUAGAACAUAUUCGUAGAAUUAACUAUAAACAAAAGAGUAAACAGAGGGCAAGUAGAGUAUAAUUUAUUUCUUAAACCAAAAGAAAGGAUGAGUAGAGCAUCUUCUACUAGCGACAGACACCUCUAGGAUGAACCCUUAAUUCGGGCAGCCGACGCUCCACAUCAAGCAGGUGUCUUUCAUACACUGUUUGGCGUGUUCAGAGCUCUAUGACUUUAGCUCGAGUUGGAGCUAGCUCUUGCUGUAGAGCCUCAUUGUCUCUCAUAGCUCCCCUAUGAGCAAACUCAAGAUUGCGAAUCCGCAUCAAGCUCCAUGGUUUGUUGAAUGGUUGUCAUUCCUAGCUCAACAUUUCGAGCCACUCGGUGAAUCAAGAUGGGAAGAAUCCUGUCUGCAGAGUCUCCAUCACUUAGGUUGUAGAAGCUUCGGUCUUUGUUGUAGGGUAAGGGUUGAACCUGCUCCCGACUCCACCUACCCAAGUUCUCAGCCCACGAAGGCGUCGAGCCUUAGAAGUUUUGUCGUAGAUUAGGAUUCUGGGAAACUGGUGGUGGAUUAUAGGCCUCUUAUUCAGAACCAGAAUAUUCAGGAAAGUUUUCUGCAAAAUCAUCAUCUAAGGGGAUUUCAUGAUUUUCUUCUAGCUCAUCCUCAAGCCAUCCUCCAUUUCCCUGAUUGGGAAAGUACGGGUCUCUGGGUAGAUGAAAUCCAGCCAUUGAUAUCUAAUCGAGAAUAGGGAUAAGAGAUAUAGAAUAUAAUUAGUAACGAUAAAUCGUAAAAAAAAGUUUCUACGAGAGAAACUAACAAAUAAUGAAUUAUGUAUGACUUGAUCUACGUGCUACUAUAACUACAAAGUGUAUACUAAUUAUAUAUAACUUGGGUAUAAUCGACCUUUGAUUAAAUGUUCAUGGUCUAAAUCCACAACCACUGGCGACAUAUGCUGGUCAAGACCGUAAAUAUGAAUAGUCAUAAGGAAAUCAUGAGCAUGUGGAACCCUUAUACACUCAAAAAUUGCUUUCUGCUUAAUCGUCAUGUCGAAGUGAACUUCCAUGUCUUGGACAAUUUUACUAAAAAGGGCACUCUCCAAUGAAUGUUGGGCUUUUGGAGGGGCAGUGUCCUUAUUAAUGAAACCGCUGAAAUCAAAGCCUAGAAUCGUAACACGAAGACAGGCCAAAGCAGAAACAUAAUCUGAAUUCAUACCACAUAUGCCGCUAUUUUGAAAGAUGUGGUCUUGUCACGCCCACGAUUGAGCUCGUGAGGCAACAAAAGCAUAGGAGGAAGCAUCAACUGCUGAGUACAACCCCAAACCACCGAGCCUAAUUGUUAACGAAGCCAGUCGCCAUUGAAGGUCCCCAAAGAACGGACCCCCAUAAACCACAAUGUCCUAAUUUGACCCACGUAUCCCUUUAUCAAAACACAAAGCAGCCUCUUCCAUAUGAACGGGUUGGCACGUUCUCGGGCCAAAGAAAAGUUUGGCAAUGCCCAUACAAGAUCAAAGUAAAAGGAGUUCACUCUGGGGAUCAUGUAACUGUGGUAGAAGGCGCAUCAAAUCUGUCACACCCCCAAACCCGACGGUGGAAACGUCCGGGGGUGGAUGACUUCAUUUGUAGUAUCACAACACAUGUAUCAUAGUAAUCAAAGUACAAACAACCAUUGCAUUAAUAUGUAUAAGUUUUUACAUGUGAUCAAUCAUUGUAUACUGAAAACAUAAUAGUUAUACAAAAGAAGAAGACAUGACUCAAAAUAGCUCCAUCUUCUCAAAAGCUCGGGGAGUGCCUGUCUAUUGAUUCCCUGAGAAUACAAGUAAUUUGAAAAGAGAGUAUCAACAUAAAGUUGAGUGAGUGCAUAAGUAUUUAUGUUUGAAAGUAUGUUUUCUGUUUCUUGAAUAUGAAAACUGUUCCAGAAAAUCCUAUAUUUUCUGUUUUAAGUGGAAAGUAGUUUUAAUCUCAUAAAACCGUUCUGUUUGUAAACCAAUGUUCUGUAGUUGUAUUCCUUUAUGUAAAACUUAUAACUGUGAGUGUGCCUGGUUCCCCCAUCUGUUAUUGUAAACUGUGACGUAAUACUGUAAAUUGUAUCCUAUAACUUGUACUAAGAAAAUGUACUUAUGUUUAGUUAAUUAUACACUAACGUAUUGUUAAUAUCUUUUUAAUGAGUUAUUAUAACCAUACUGAGACUAGAUGGCCUGACCCAACGCUUUGAAGGCAUCAAAAACUGUUGAUAACAACUGUCACUCGUAGGCAUGUAUGCCUGACUGUAGCUAGCAGUCCGAGUGCGGGGUUGUCAAUCCCAAUAUAGAUCUAUACACACAUUGUUUUGAUCCCCGGGUGGAGAUUCUGGUUAUAAUGUUAGGACUUUAACUAUGUUGUUUAAAUGAAUUAAACAACCUGAACCAAAUUACUCAUAAAAAGCAUAUAGACGUUACAUGUAUAAUAGUUAUGAAAACCCAAUCAUUCUGAAAUGAAUGAUUGAUAGUAUGCCCCUGAAUUAGUAUAUGAUAGUUGUAUACUCUUGUUUAGUUUUAAAUCAAACCUUUGUUCUUGUAAACCAGUGUACUUUAGUAUACCUGAAUCGUGAAUUAAUAUUCUAUGAAUCACAAAUUAUACCUAUUAUAAUUUAUAUGUACUUUCUGAAUUGAUACUAAGUGUUCAUGAAUGCAACCUUUCGCUCAACAUGUUACAAAGGGGUAUCUAAAUUGAAUGAAAUAUCUUUUAUAUUUAUAUACAUAUACAAUUAUAUAUAAAAAAAAAUUAAUCGACAUUCAGACAAAUAACUGAAAAGGAACCAAAGUGAGUUAUCAGUCCUAAGCCUCUUAAACCUUAUUUGUAUAAAUAUAUUUAUAUAUAAAUAUGAUUUCUGGGGAAAAAUAUCAGUUUAUAAAAUCAGUUAAACGAAGUUUAAUAUUUUGAAAUACAUUUGGUGACUUGAUGUCAUUUUAACAUAAUCUUUGAAACCAAUUGAUUUGAUGAUAACUGAAAUUCAUUUUGAUAAGAUAUUUUGAAACCAUUUGUUUAUAACACAUAAUCUUUGUGUUAAACUUGUAUCCCCCCCUCCCUUAAAACAGUAAAAACUAUGAAAAUACGGGGGUAUGAACUCACCUUUUGGAGGGUGAUUCAACUGAUGAAUUGAUAUAGGAUGCUAAGAAUGCCAAGUGACGUCUUAAACACAAAUGGAUCCUAUUAACCAUAUAAUGAUACAUAUAUGUGUAUAAUUAGUGUGUAUAACAACUAAUCAUGUAAGGUAAACAACCUUAGGUGUUAGGAAACACUUGAAAUGAAGUGUUACAAUCACAUAUGAUUGAAAGAAAGGAGUUCACGGCCACACUAUACGUGUUUACGGCUAUAGAGGUGUUUACGGCCACACACAUGAAGUGUUUACGGCCAAGACUUGUUCUUAUGAAGGGUUUACGGCCACCUCAAGAUCUUAUGAAGGGUUUACGGCCACCUCAAGAUCUUAUGAAGGGUUCACGGCCAUGGAUGAAGGGUUUAUGGUCAUGAACUCUUGAAGAUCAUGCACUUGGGUGUUUGUUUCUUGGCUGGAAUCAAGUGUUUCUAAUGUAUAACAAGAUAAUAGAAGAGUUACUCAUGUUUUGGAAGUCUUUAGGGAGUUUACGGCCCAAGAACAAGUGUGUGGUCUUGGUGUUCUUGGUGUAAAGGAUGAUGACUUGAAGAUCUAAACCAAAAGUGUUGAAUUCAUGGAUGAAAUCAAAGAGUUUCAUGUGAAUAAGAAGGAUAUCAAGUGAAUAUGGUAGAAUCACUUAGGAUUUUGAAGAGAAAGGAGAGUGUUCUUGAUGAUACUUGAGAGAGUUUUGAGAAUUCUUGACUUGAAGAUGUGAGAAAUGAAGAAUAAUGACGGAACACCAUACUUAUGAUGAGGAUUUCACGGCCAUCAUGAGUUCACGGCCGUAAACCCUCGUUUGCGGCUGUGAACUCUUUAUGAAGGUGUUUCCGACUCAAUUGCAACUCAAUGAUCUCAAGUUAAUACUUUCUAACACACAAUCCUUGAGUGUACUAGGCUUAGAACUCUCAAACAGACCCUUAACAAAGCUAUAAGUUAACAGAAACAAGUCUGACUUUUGAUUGAAUUGAUUGGCUUUACAAGAUAGAAAAAUAAUGGGAUGUUACAAAAUCAACAGCCUUGGCAGCCCUCUUCAUGGCUAACUCACUAAUAAAAUCCGCAUCUCUACUAGCAGCUCCCCCAAGAAGCUUCACCCCCACUGACGGUCACCCAAUAUCAAUAGGGAAUAAACCUGUACGAAGCUUCCUACCAUCGCAUGAAGGCCAAAAUAGCUUAGUUUUCUUGAUAUUCAGCUCAAGCCCCAAUCCUAGGCCUACCACCCUAAUGAUGUCCAAUACUCUAGCCAGCUCCUCUAAAUCUCUAGUGACGGUCCCAUCAUCGAGGUACCAAGCAUGAAGAAGAAGCUUGCAAUUGUCUCUAAUUUGAUGUAUAAGUGGGUGCAGUACAAGAGCAAAAAGAAGUGGUCCCAAAGGGUCGCCUUGCUAGACCCCAGUAGUGGACCAAAUAUGCUUAUCUCCCAAAUACAACCUUGUUGCAUGUCCAUAUAAGAAUUCAACCCAUAAGGAAAUGGAAGGGCACCUAAUCCUGACCUCAUGAAGUAAGUAAGUUCAAUCCACUAAAUUUAAGGCAUUCAAGAAAUCCACAGUAAGCAUAGCAAGAGAUCCAUCAUCAUGACGUGCACUCAACGCCCUACUGACACUAUGAAUUAUAGCUUCAGCGCCACCCGACACACCUACUCCAAAUUGAAAGUCAUUAAGGUAUUGUGCCAUUUCUUUACCAACUCCGUUCAUAGCAACCUUUGAGACCAAACGCCUCCAUAUAGUGCCUAUAGCAACAAGGCGGAUUUCAUUGUCAGGUUUUAGGAGCGGAGUAAGAGGUGCAGAUGCUACAAAUUCUGCUAGACAUGACAGACAUCUUCCCCUAGCCACAGAUUAACCAUUGCGGUGUUGGCAUGUAAUAGAUCUGUAGCUAUAGCAAACCCUUCCCCACAUAGAGCGUCCAAAAUGUGUUGAGCUCUCAAGCCGUCUCUCCCACACGAAGUUCCUUUAGGAAACAAUUUAAUACAACCAAUGACAUUGUCAAUGUAUACUAUAAGGGAAGGCUCAGAAUAAAUGGUGCUCGACAUGGAUGCUUAGCCUCUAAAGCUUUGGUAGUGUCACUAUCAUGUGAAGCAACACUCAAGGAGAACAACACUUUCACUGUUGCUGUAAAAUGUCCAUCAGCAACCUUACGGAGACACUGUCUGACGUUGGUGUUGCCCUUAGUUCUACCAUCUUGAAAGUGUUCAGCUUUUUGGCCCGAUGAGCCAAGACCUACAUUGUCAGACAUAUUUUCAACUAAUGUGACAAUACUGUCCUCUUUGCCCCAUGUAGCUAAAGAAUUCAAUAUGCAAUGAUUUUGUUCCCAGACCUACGUUCUUGUCUGUUAUUAGGCAUGAACACUUGCAAAGUACAUCAGGGAAGAAGCAAUAGCCUAACCCAUGAUUCCACAUACUCAGGGUGAGCGGCCACCUUAUUAAGAGUUGUUUGCAACACUUGAUAGAAAGCCACACAACAACUAUGAGGGAUACUUUUGAUGGUCGUGAUAGGCGCCUUGAAAACACGAUCAAGCAGUUCAGCAUCUAAAGCCAUCCCUCCAAGUGCUACGGUUUCAUUCCCUAUGGAAGCUGUCUAAAGUAUCCCUUUUCUAUAAAGCAUCCAAAGCCAUCCCUCCAAUUGCUAUGGUUUCAUGCCCUAUGGAAGUUGUCUAAAGCAGCUCAACUUGAUUGCUUUCAGUCGGUUAUUUUUCUGUAAAUAUCUGCAAGUCAUUUACAAAUACUAGAUUAGCAUUUAAGUACCAAUUAGUUGAGUGUUAUAUGAAAAGUAUAAGUUCUAUCUAGUAGAUACCUGAAGUACUAGUCUCUUCCAAACUUUCUUUCUAGGUAAGAGGAACAGUUCCUCUUCUAAUGUCCAGUUUCUCCACAAAAGAAACAACAUCCAUCUAUGUGGGCCUUAUUGGAUUUCUUGGGCUUAAAAGUGUUUAUUCCAUAAAACAUUGGCCUUUUUGAUCAUUUUAGUCUUGCACUAUUCUAAUGUUAGAACAAAAUAUCACUGUAUUUAUUGGAAUAUUGUUUAACAUGUUAUAUCANNNNNNNNNNNNNNGACUUCUUGGAAAUCAGGAAUAACUAUUCCAAGUUUAAUGUUAUAAUCAUCUUUAGCAUCACAGUGAUGCCUUUACUAGGUGUCAUGUUCAGGUUUAUUGCUCAAACCAAGUUGUUUAAGACUGACCUUUAAGUGUAUACAAUUCCACAUCUCUCACGAGAUUGUCUCUCAAGACAUCAACCCAUUCAUUGAAGUUGUAUCUAUUAAAUGUUAUUAUUUCAUUAAGCCAUUAAAGAAAAUGACAAUUCAUGGUAAUGAGAAUGGAUUAUUUUUCUACAAAAUUUUAACAAAAUUCAUUUAGUAUUUUUAAUAUGUAAUCUUUAAUAAUUAAUACCAUUUUAGUUUCCAAAAACAUUAAUUAUCAAAGUCUAGGAAUCAAGUUGCAAAAUAAAUGAAUGGUUAGGUAGCCUUUAUCUCAUGCAUUUGAGUUCAACCUGAUAGAUAUCGCUUAUCAAUUAUAUCUUACUAUAUAAAUCCCAGACUUAUGGGAUCGCUAAUAACAAAUUUAAUUAGACAUGUUUGAUCCCAUCUAUGCCUCGAAACUCUCUUUCUUAGGUAUCCUUUAUCACAAAAGAUUGCCAAUCAAAUCAUCUAAUUUAAAAAAUAUGUGUAAUCAUCCUAUAACUUGGUUAUAGAUAUAGCAAAGACACCUCGGCGAUCAAAAGAUAACACUAAGCGGUUACGUGUCAUUUAUCCUACUAGUGCAUACAAGAGAUGUGCGGGUGUUCUUCAAAAUGGAAUUCAUAGAUUUGAGGUUUGUAAAGGGUCUUUUAUAUGUUUUAUAAUUCUAGUUUUAAAAACAUAUGGUGUCAUGGUUAUUACAUGCAUGUAAUAAGCCAUGGUACAAAUUUUCAAAAGAAAAACAUUUUUAAAAGUUCAAAUAUAACAUCCGGUUUUAUAUUUUGACGAGGUUCAUUUUUAACGAUAAUAUCCAAUAUUAAGUUUGAGUUUGAUCCAUAUAGAACCUUAUUUAUUACUUAAUAAAACUUCAUUUUAUUAUUAAUAUGAUGGAGUUUGAGUAAGUUAUAAAAUCACCAUUUUAGACUUAUAAUUUUACAAUUUCAAAAUUUGAUGUUAUUAACAUUUUAAUAAAACUGGUUUUUAUUUUAAAGUUAUAACUUGUUACAUCUUAUGUUCUCAUUUUCUAAAUUGAAAACCAAACUCCAUGUGAUGUUUAUUUUGUCCAAAAAAUAGUUUGAGUUUGUGAAAAGCCAAAUUAUCAACCACACAAAAUAUUUACUUGAAAAAUGAAAAAUAAACAACACAAGAAUGCAUUUAACAUAAACAAACAUUGAUCUAGUUAACACUUUUGUGAGCCAACACAAAAGUGUUAAGUCAUUCCUAAGGGAUAAAGGGACCAAAUAUAACAACUUGUUCUUCAUGUGAUCUUCAAGCUCUCACUUGCAAUGACAACCAAAUUUGUUGCAAUUUUAUAAAGAUUUUAUAAAAGUUAUGAACUUUUAUAAAAUGUUCAUAAAACCGUGGGUCUCCAUGGUUCUUCAAGAAAUGACCUCCAUCUUCAUCUUGUUACAUAUUUUAUAAAAUAAAUCUAGUCUAAAACUAAUCUAUUACAUAAAAUAACAAGAAUAAAAAGUAGCUAUUAUUAUUAGAUAUUUUAUGAAUAAAAUAAUAUCACAAACCAUUUUUAACCAAAUCACACAAACAACAACACAAAUGGUCCAAUGCUUGUUUAUGCACUAUAAAAAUACAUAUAAAAAUAAAACAACCUUUGUUUUUAUAAGACAACUUUAAGUGACAAAAAAUACAUGUAAGUUUUUGUCAUAUAAAAUAACAAGUAAGAAGUUGUCAAAGAAAAUAUUAUGAACUUAUUUUUAUGCAAAAACAAGUUAUCCAUAUUCUCCAAAAACUAAGAUUUCCAAAAAUCAUAAAUUCUAACCAAACUUGUAAUGUGUCUCUGAUACUAAUUGUUGGGUUUUUAUUCAAAAAUAGUUUCAAAAAACACAAGAUAUUGGAAUGGAAGACUUUGAUUUUGAACAACAUAAAACAAGUUUAUAACCAAUCAUGGAUCUUCUUGCAAAGUUUGGAAUUAAAACAAGCACAAAAGAAGAAGAAGAAGAAGAGUUUAACAACCUUUGUAGACUUUGGAUCCUCUAAGGGAGGCUUGGAAGUUGAUGGAGAAUGGAUGAACCUUUGAGACACCAACAAUAACUCGACUUAAUUUAAGAUGAUGGUAUUGUAAAACUCUUAAGCUUUAAGUUUAUAACCAAUGUAUGAACUUAAAGAGAGAAACAUGCAGGUGUUCUUUCAAGUGUAAAAGCAAAAACAUGAGAGAAUGAGUAUGCCAAGCAUACUCAUGGUUUUGGCAUGUAAAAAGAUCAAAAAUAAAAGUCUUUCAUGCACUCUCUUAAAUUUAAAACAAUAUACAUGAGUCCUUAACCAAUUAAGCACACAUGUCAAAAAAAGAACUUAUCCUCUAUGUCUUUAAGAAAUAGCCAUGUUUUUUAUUAAACAAAUCAAAAGGUCAUGUUUCUUUUAUUCUUUCUUAUAAAUAAAGAAGAUAAAAGUUUAUAAAUUUUGUAAACUUCUUUUAUAAAAUAUAAAGUUUGGCUUUUGGCUAAAAGACAAAAGUCUUUCUAGUCCAAAAUAAUGUACAUGACUUAAUAAAUCAUAACAUAUGAUAUAUUAUGUUACUUGCUAAUAAAAAAUUAUUAUUUCCAAGAAUUAAAUAAUUUUCAAUUAAUUAUAAGAUUUUAUUGAAUAUUUAUUAAAAUCAGUUUCUAAUAAAUAAUAAAUUAUAUCAAGUUAUUAUUAGUGUGACCCAUUAGUAUCAUAUGUUAAUUAGCAAUAUCAUUUUAAUAUGAUUCUUGAGCAUACAAGAUCUUUCAAAGAUGAUUGUGUAGCUUAAUGGAUUAAGGGAUUAAUCUAUUAAGUUUUCCAAGAUCAAUUUAUACGACGUGGCUAUAUGUUCACCACUUCGUGACAUAUGAAGUUCUCGUAACCGUUUUGUCCGGAGAUUGCCACGUCGUGGCAAAUGAUGGGUCACGACAUAGUGGCCAACAAAGUUGUCUUUUGGGGUGUUGACUUUCACCGUUGAUCAUUUACUUUUUGAACAAUUUGACUUUUGGUCAAACCUUGGUAGAAUUGAGUGUUUAUCUAAGAUCUAGUCUCGGUUUCACAUUAGGUAGCUUGUGUUAGUUGUUCUGAUUGUCGAGGUUUGUUGUUAAGCUUCUGCUAGAUAGCUCAGGUGAGUUUUCUCACUAUACUUUUUACUACAAUAUGUUUCCUUGUGUGUAGAGUGUUGGUAUGUUUUAGUGAUCUGUUUGAUUGAUAUAUCUGUUAUGAUUACUUGUAUUGCUCACUAUUAUCUAUUUAUUUGUUUAUGUGCAUAUGUCUAUAUAUUGUGGUUAGUGGGGUUGAGGCGGUCCUACUUUGUGUUGUAGGUCAAGACACUCGGGCAGUCCAGUGUAUUGUAGGCCUUGCGAGGUGGUCCAGUCAGACUGUAGGCCCAAGGGAUCAAUCUAGCUAUUGUAGGCCUUGCUAGGUGUGCCAGUAGACUAUAGGCUCGGUAGAACAGUCCAGGCAUCCUGUUAGCCUUACGAGGCAGUCCAGGCAAACUGUAGGCUCAUGUGUGCAUGCAUUGUAUGUGUAUUGUUGUAUGAGGUAUUUUGGGGGAACUCACUAAGCUUUGGCUUAUAGUUGUGGAUUCAAAUGUUUUUCAGAUACUUUUCAGAUUUUGAAGGCGGGACUGUACACACGCACAUCAAUGAUUUUAUGUUUCGAGAUUCCGUAAUGUUUUCCUUAUAACUCUAAUUUUGAAUUAUGAUUUAUGAACAAAUGGUUUGACUGUUAAUGUAACUUUAUAAAAUGGGUGUUUAUUCUAUUCCAAAAAUGAAAAAUUUUACUAUGGUUUUGGGAUGUUACACAUGUAACAUAAACACAUAACAUAUAUUAGCAUAUUACAUACCCUUGGUAAUUAGUCCUCUCUAAUUACCCUGCAAUUAACCAAUUCUUUAAUAAGUCCUUCGCUAGUCAAUUAUACAAAUCUUGGUAACUGGCCUUUCCCAGUUACCCUAACCAAACAUAACUCCUAAUAGUAUCAUACAAACAACAGGCAAGACCCUACCGGUCUAGCAUACCAUGACACCAAGUGUCCUAAACUACACAUGCAUAACAAGGAGUUAUCCUAGUAAACUAGAUAUCGUACUCUAACAAUACCUCUGUUCUACCAUGCAAAGGAUAUACAGUGGGAUACGUGGCAUAGUGAGAAACUCACCUGAACCGAAGAAUCGGAGAAGCACAACAACACUCUCAUUCCUUGCACUGACCAAUCCCACAAACCGACUAAAACCAAAUAAAGAUCAAUCCUCAAUUAAGAACUCAAUUCCUUCAAGUUUAACUUAAGGUCAAACUGGUAAAAAGUCAAUGUUCAAUGGUCAACAAAAUUCAACGGUCAACCAAGGUUAACAGCCACCUCUUAGUUGUGCAGAGUCGCGAGGCUGAACCCCACCAUGACCUGGUGACCUCUUGUCCACGUAGUGGUUAUUGCUAAAAGUCAUUCUCAUUAAGAGUUUAAUCCUUACAGAUCAAGGCUCAAACUUCCAGAUAUGAUUCUUCUUAGUAAUUUAAUAGAUAAAGUUUCCAACUUUAUCCAUUAGGACCUUACCACAAGUCAAGAUCUUAAACCCUAAGUCAAUAAGUCCUUAAUAUGACCAAAACAUGUGCAUUGAACAAAGGGGACCAUGAGUUAACACUUUUUCCAUCAUAUAAGGCCAAAAGAUGGUCACCAAACAAGCCUAAGGUUCUAGAGUUUCCUAAAACUCCAAGAACAUUCCUUUAAAGUACUUCAAGGCAUGAAAUAAGAGAAUAGAAUGAUAAACGCGGAGGCUUUAUACCUUCCCAAGUUCCAUAAGAUGCACGAGAUGCAAUAUCUAAAGUAGAUACACUCUUCCAAUUAGCAAUCACACAUUUUUCUUCUUCUCAAGGUGCAAUCCAAGGCUUCAAACGUCAAGAACUCCAAGAACACAUCAAGAACGCUCAAAUGAGGCUAGGGUUUUCGAGAUAGAAAGGUGGAUGCUGAAGAGAAUGACCUAACCCUAAAGUUAAGGUCAUUAAAUAUGAAGGAAACCCUAAAAAUUGUAGGCUUGACCUGCAUCAGUCGUUAUGUCGUGGUGUCCAUCAGGACACGUGUCACUUUAGUCUCAUUCCACGUCGUUGUCAUCAACCAACCACAUGGUGGCAUAUGUUUUUUUUCUUUCCAAAAACCACAUCUUUGUCCUCCUUAAAUCUUUUUAAUUAGUCCGAUCUCAAAAAAGGAUGUGAUAGUAGUUACUAAAAUUUUAAUACUUUAUAAGUUCCACAUUCCUAAAAGAAUUCCCAACUAGUUCAAUCGUGUGGAUUAAACCCAUGCCUAUAAAAAAUAAAUCAAGUGAGUUAACGAACUAUCAUGAAAAAAUUUCUAUCAGUUUUCUCAUGUACUAUACCUGCUGCAUUAAGUACAUACAUAAGUAGCAAGACCGACAUGCUACAACGAACACAACCAUUUACGUAAAAGCGAUGCAUGUGAACAGUGAACUCUUCACCAUAUCCCCGUUUCAAAUUAAUCCCUUUGUCCUUCAUGCUACAAAAUUUAGUAAUUAGUAUCAAGCAUUAACAUUUGUACUUCACGUAUUAAGUCUUGUAAUUGACACGUGUCGAGAUAGAAGUAUGAUGAAUGAUUUAUUUUAUCCAAGAAUGUUCAAAUGAUAGCCAUGAUACAAUCCUUAGCCUGACAACCCUCAUGGAAUCUGUGGCCAACGUAACACUCCCGUGAAUGAUUUGGGUCGCAUUUGCCUACUUUGGAGCUACUCACAUUUCCAACCAAUAUACCAACAAAAUAAUAUGAUUAUUAAAGUGGCUAGCUUCAACCCAUGCUACCAAAAUAGUGAAACUCCAAAAAUUAAAAGGUUGUUAAUGAUUAAAUAGAUAAGAUUAAAAGUUCAACCCAUGCUACGAAAAUAGUGAAACUCCAAAAAUAAAAAGGUUGUUAAUGAUCAAAUAGAUAAGAUUAAAAGAUUGAUUAACGAAAGAAUAAGUCAAAUAGUUUGAAAACCACUUGAAAAAUAUGCAAGUGCUUUAAAGACCUUAUUUUAUUGAGAAAAUAAUCAUAAUAGCCAAAAUUUCAAGGUUUUUCUACAAAAUGGCAAAAAAAUGAAAAAAAAUUCACGUAUGAAAUCAUUUUUAUUUUCCAGUUUCAAAUAUUCAUAACUUUUUCAUAUUUUAUAGAAAUUUUUUGAGCUAAAAUGUUUUUUAUUAUGCUCUUUCUAACAACUUUCUAUGGACAUAUUACAUUUUAAAUUUGGAUGUUGCAAAAUCAUAUUUUAUUAACUUCAAAGUAGACUAUUUGGUGAAAAAAAUAUUAAAAAAACAAACAAGCAAACAAAGUUAACUUUUGAUCAUUCAUAAAUUUUGCAUACAAACUUCCUUUGGAUUGAUUUUUUUUUAUUGUGUUCUUUGUAACAAAGGAUAUUCAUAAACAUAUUACACUCCUAAUUUGGAUGUAAGGAAAGUCAAAUUUUUGUAACUCCAAACUAGGUUAUUCGAUGAAAAAAUAUGAAGAUUUGUUUUAUAAAUUUCGAAUAUAGACUUCAUAACAAUCACCGGGCCAUCUCGAUCAAUCACAAUAGUGAACUGAAAAAAUCUCAAAAAAAAAUGGAGGAACCUAGAUUUUAAUAGAUGGUGUCUGCGAAAUUGUGGCCAUUAUAGUUAAUUUUAUCUGAUUUUUGCUUAUUUUGUAGAAAAAAAACUUAGGAAAUUUGGUUAUUAUGUUUUAUUUUGUUUGUUGUAAUAUAAAAAAAAAUGUUAAAUGACAGUUAAUACUAUGUCGUCUAAAUUUCAUUCAGUUUGAUCUUUUGUCGACGAAUAUGUUUUUACCAAAAAAAUAUCACUAAAUGUUUCAAGACAUAAAUGUCAACUCAAGAGACUGAAAAACUUAAAUUAAAUCCAAUAAUUCAAAAGAACAGUAGUAGAAUCUGGAAGUUAGUAACUUAGUAUCAAAUAAAGAUAAAUUAUAAUAUCUUAUUAUUUGGGUAAAUUAUAAUACAAAAAUUAUAAUUAAGCAGAAAUUAAAAAAAAAAUGAGAAAUUAAAUAUUCUCCUACUUUUUGUUCCUAUAUAUCCUCCUACACCAUAAAAUGGUGACAUGUGUAAUAAUUAAUGCUCAUUUAAUGAGAUUUAAUGAUAUUUUAGGAUAUUAAUAUAACACAUAUCAUCAUUUAAAUGGGUAGAAGGAUUGAUAGGAUAGAAAAAUAUUAUUAUCAAUAAAAAAAAUAUUAAAUAGAAAUAAACCGAAAAUAAUCAAAAUUUGUUAUCAUUAAAUAAAAAAGUCUAAAUUUCGGAACAAAUUUAAAGAUCGUGAGUUCCAAUAUUAAUUUAUGUCAAAACUGUUUCUUUUGCGGUUACGAUGUUUUUUUUACAAUAGCUGAAUAGCUCAUUCACUGCUAGUUUGGUUUGGAGUUAUACUGGUUUUUGCAUGAUUGACAUAAUGAAUCCAAACCCUCGUGAAUAAUUCCCCUAUAAAAACAACUGCUUCUUCACCAGUAGAACUUACACAAUUUCCAGAAUGUCUUCAUGGGUUUCAUUCAUGGUGGUGCUCCUUUGUUUCUCCAUUAAUGGCGUCGCGGAUGCCAGACACCGGAAACAGCUGCACUCUCCAGCCAUUGUCGUCGGAACUGUCUAUUGUGACACUUGCUUCCGUCAAAAAGUAUCCAAAUCCACCCAUUUCAUUUCAGGUUCUUGUCGUUCAUCUUGUGAUAUGUACGUAUAUUGGUUUAUCUAGGGGGUUUUUUUUGUUAAUGGGUGUUGUAUUGUUUGUUUAGGUGCGAAGGUGGCGGUGGAAUGCGGCGGCGAUGGUGGGAAGCAGAGUUUCCGGGUAGAAGUGAAGACGAACGAGAAGGGUGAGUUUGAAGCUAAACUGCCGGUUUCAGUUGGUAGAAGUGUGGAGAAAAUCAAAGGGUGUUCAGUGAGAUUGAUUAGCAGCGGCCAGCCGUACUGUGCGGUGGCUGCCACCGCCACAUCGUCGGAGAUUCGUUUUAAGUCGAAGAAGGCGGGGACUCAUGUUUUCUCAGCUGGGUUUUUCACUUUUAAGCCCGAAUUGUGUAACCAGAAAGAUACUAUCGGAAAAGGUUUUCCACCGGCGCUUCCUGAUAUUCCUGCGCCGUUCUUGCCGCCGAUCGGUGGAGGUAUUUUACCUCCUCUUCCGGUGCCGGAUGUACCCAUGCCACCUCUAAUUCCCCCGCUACCACAGCUCCCUGGUAUUCCACUUCCACCUGUUACCCGCCAAAAAUCAUCGGAAUCCGAUAGAUUGGCCGAUCAAAAAAGUUUUGGUUUCCCGUUUCCACCGCCACUGUUCCCACCGCUGCCGUUUGUGCCAUCGCCGCCGUCAUUGAUUCCUCCCGUCAUUCCAACACCACCACCGUCACUGUUCCCUCCCCUCGUUCCAUCAACACCACCAUCAUUGUUUCCUCCCCUCGUUCCAUCACCACCAUCAUCGAUGUUUCCACCAUUGCCCUUUCCACCUGUACCAGGUUUGAUUCCAUCACCGCCGCCGCCACCACCGCCGGCGUUCCCAAUUCCUCUGCCUCCACUACCUCCGCUACCUCCGCUACCUCCAGUACCUCCGGUACCAGGAGUCCCACCGGCGAAAACCUCCCCUUGAUUAAACUCGUAUAUAUUUAAUAUUAUUACUGCAUAACCUUUUGAAGUAACCUUUCCAUACAUACGCGCGUAUUACAAUUAUGGGUAUUGUAAUUGUAGCAUGAAUAAAUCGUACAUGGUAAAAUGGUUGGGAUUCCUAUAAAUAGUUUAAAAUUUUUGAGAUCCAAUUAUGCGUUCUGAGUAUUGUUUAAUAGAUAGCAUU